UACGUAGGGGCCUAGCGUUGUCCGGAUUUAUUGGGCGUAAAGAGCUCGUAGGCGGUUUGGUGAGUCGGGUGUGAAAUCUCCACGCUCAACGUGGAGGGGCCACCCGAUACUGCCAUGACUAGAGUCCGGUAGGGGAGUGUGGAAUUCCCGGUGUAGCGGUGAAAUGCGCAGAUAUCGGGAGGAACACCAGUAGCGAAGGCGACUUCCUGGCCUGUUCUUGACGCUGAGGCGCGAAAGCUAGGGGAGCAAACGGG
rnacentral:rRNA from 1 species